rnacentral:rRNA from 1 species
AGUGAACGCUGGCGGUAGGCCUAACACAUGCAAGUCGAACGGCAGCACAGUAAGAGCUUGCUCUUACGGGUGGCGAGUGGCGGACGGGUGAGGAAUACAUCGGAAUCUACUUUUUCGUGGGGGAUAACGUAGGGAAACUUACGCUAAUACCUCAUACGACCUACGGGUGAAAGCAGGGGAUCUUCGGACCUUGCGCGAUUGAAUGAGCCGAUGUCGGAUUAGCUAGUUGGCGGGGUAAAGGCCCACCAAGGCGACGAUCCGUAGCUGGUCUGAGAGGAUGAUCAGCCACACUGGAACUGAGACACGGUCCAGACUCCUACGGGAGGCAGCAGUGGGGAAUAUUGGACAAUGGGCGCAAGCCUGAUCCAGCCAUACCGCGUGGGUGAAGAGAGCCUUCGGGUUGUAAAGCCCUUUUGUUGGGAAAGAAAAGCAGCAGGUUAAUACCCCGCUGUUCUGACGGUACCCAAAGAAUAAGCACCGGCUAACUUCGUG